AUCUAGCCCCGAUGGAAGGGAAUAUCCUUUUUAUUUUUUUUCAAAAAUAAAAAGAUUAGGAAUGACAGCGGGAACUUUC
rnacentral:sRNA from 1 species